AUGACGAAGACCCUGUACCACACAACCCCGAACAAGAGCAGGAGAACAUGUGCGGGACGAUCUGACUGCUGCUGUGUCUGCUCCAAACAUUUGUGUCUGCUCACCAUGAGCAUGACUACCUUGAACUGGACUGGUAAGCAGAAGGUUGCUGGAUCAAUCUCCACCGGUGUGUCUUUACUCCAGGUGCUCCAGAGGGAUUGAGGUCCCUGUAAUAACAGCACUAUGUUCUCACUGGCUCUGGGGUCACUGAAAAUGAAGAGACCACAGUAGCAUCUGGUCCUGAUGAGAAAACAAGAGCAGAUGCAGUGAUGGAGCAUUUCACCCAUGGCACUCCAUCUUCUCCAUCCUCAGAGCACACAG